GGCUGGUCUAAAGGUAGUUAUUCUCAGCUGAUUGUUUACAGUUAGUUAGAUUGUUCACAGUUAGUUACACAUCAAACUCCUUGUUCAACUCUUUCCUCCUUCUCACUACUACACUUGACUACUCUUUA
rnacentral:Y_RNA from 1 species